rnacentral:tRNA from 1 species
GGGCGAGUGGCGGAAUUGGUUAUACGCGCACGACUCAAAACCGUGUCCCGCAAGGGGUGAGGGUUCGAUUCCCUCCUCGCCCA